UACGUAGGGGGCGAGCGUUAUCCGGAUUUAUUGGGUUUAAAGGGUGCGUAGGUGGCUUUUUAAGUCAGCGGUGAAAUUUUGCAGCUUAACUGUAACAGUGCCGUUGAUACUGGGGAGCUAGGAUUUGGUUGCUGUGGGUGGAAUGUGUGGUGUAGCGGUGAAAUGCUUAGAGAUCACACAGAAUAUCGAUUGCGAAGGCAGCUCACAAAGCCAAGAUUGACGCUGAGGCACGAAAGUGUGGGGAUCAAACAGGAUUAGAUA
rnacentral:rRNA from 1 species